UUUAUUUCUAAUGCUUCUGCUAAUUUGAUCUCUUGUACAUUAUGUAUUGGAUUCAGUUUAAGGAAAAGUGUAUUGGAUUCGCUGUUUGUGCUUGAUCUCAGUCUAUUGAGAGGUCAGUUUUGUAAAAUCUUCUUGCUAGAGCUGUAGAUAAAUUACCAUUGGUUAUAUCUUUUUUUAUGCUCUCUUCUGGUUUUAAUGCUCUUUUGUAUAUUUCCUUUCUUCCUGCAUCUUUAUUUGCAAUUGAGACAAUACAUACACUGGAAUGGGCAUCUUUUACUAAUUUACUCUUGUCAUUUCUAAUGUUAUUGUAUAUGGUCUUUGACCUGGUGUAUGGGAGCUCUACCAGCACUCUCUCUUCAACAUUCUUUAUGUUGUACACAAUGAUGAAUCAUGUGUAAUGGAUUUAGUAAAGUUAAUUCUUUGUGAUGAUGAUGUCUGCUGUACAUUAAGUCUAGGUCUUCAGCUGGAACUGUGUGCACUACAAGCAUGAAGCAUAUUCAUAUAGACAUUUUCCACAAAUAUUAAUUUAAUUGUUUUUUCAUGCAUGUUCUAUGAUUGUCUUAAACUCUAUCUCUUUAAUUUCCAUUGAGGUACAGUAUUUAUGAAUUUUACAUAAUAAAGUUUUAAUUCCUGUUUUCUUGCAUUUUAUGAGAUCUUAUGACCACUAGGAUGAAUAUUGGUACAUUUGUAGGUUUUCUGUAUACUGAAGGGCUAUAGCUCCCAUUAUCCUAUGUGAUUUUUACAUCUAAAUAAUCAACUCUGAACUAGGUGAUCAUCCAGUUCUAGGAUUAGGCCAAGCAUUGUGUCAGAAAGAAUCUCAAUAAUUAUGUUAGUCUGGCUUUCAUCUAUAGCAAUUAAAAAGAACAUCG
rnacentral:lncRNA from 1 species